rnacentral:rRNA from 1 species
AUUGAACGCUAGCGGGAUGCUUUACACAUGCAAGUCGAACGCGAGUCGGACGGGUGAGUAAUGUAUGGGGACUGCCCGCUAGAGGGGGAUAACUACUGGACAAGGUAGCUAAUACCACAGAUUACCGGAUAACCCAUAUGGGAUUAGCUAGUAGGUGAGGGAAUGUCUCACCUAGGCGACGCGCCCUAGCUGGUCUGAGAGGAGGGUCAGCUACACUGGGACUGAGACACGGCCCAGACCCGUACGGAGGGAGCAGUGGGGAAUAUUGCACAAUGGGCGCAAGCCUGAUGCAACCAUGCCGCGUGUAUGAAGAAGGCCCGAGGGUUGUAAAGUACUUUCAGUCGGGAGGCGUUACCGACAGAAGAAGCACCGGCUAACUCCGUGCCAGCAGCCGCGGUAAUUC